GAGCGCUCGCGCCAAGCACACGCACGCCCCGGCCCCACACUCGCCUUUGUAGCCGAGGGGGCAGUCUCCUCCCUCCCUCCCUCAGCACUAAAUAGCGAACUCCUUGGCAACGUCCAUGAGGCACCAGGCUCAAGAGAGGGGCCUGAGAAAGUACUGCUGACAAACCUCAAGCCAUACAAAAUAGCCCAGGGGUUGGCAACCCACAAAUGGCAUGCAAGCCAAUUCUCAUUGGCACACGAUGCAGGAGUUCAACCUUGCCCCUCCUCCCUCAUGCAGCCGGGAGCCUACGCCAGUGUUCCCUUAACGUGUAUGCUUAUGUGGCGACGCAAAAAAAAAAAACGUAUCUAAGCCCUCCCACCUCUGCAGCAGCACUUGCUUUCCUCCUGCUUCUGGAAGGUAACCAUCAAUGGAGAUACCAGAGUUCAGAGCUACAGGGUAUACAGGAUGACUCACAGAAAAUUGUGAAGAUUAAAAGGUUUGCAUCCAAAAAUACAGAAGAAAGGCUGAAGAAUCACACUGUAACCAGGAAAAUGCACAUUUACAUGAUUGGGGACUCCCUACUAAGAAAAACAUGUAGGCCUUUCACCAGAGCUGAUCUGAAAGACAGAAGGAUAUGCUGAGAGCUAAGAUAUGGGUUGUGGACCUGAGGUUGAAGAGGAUCCCAAUGGGAGCAGGGAAAAAUUCACCAAUUGUUCUUCAUGUGGGAACUAAUUAUACAGCUAGAUUCUUACUGGAAUGUAUCAAGGCAGAUUGUCAGGCUGGGGAAAAUGGGUAAGGAAAUGGUGACUAAUGGAAACCAGAAUAAGGAGGUAGAAAUGACCACAUCCAAGGUGGAAGUAAAAUUCAAAUGACUUAAAGGAAUAAAAUGAGGGGGGGGUUACAAAUAACCUCCAUUCAAAAAUAUUAAAGGAAUUGGGACAUGAAAUUGCCCGUCCAAUAGCAAGAAUUUUUAAUGAAUCUGUAAACUUGUGGAUUGUAUCCUAUGACUGGAGAAUUGCUAAUAUUUUUCCUAUUGUUAAAAUGAGGGCAAAUGAUAGAAGUCAUUUUUGUUAAGUUUUUUAACUUUUAAGCUGAUCAAAGAGAGGCAGAUGUAAUCCUCGAUGCCAUUUUUUGUUCUAUAGUCACAUAGUGACAUCCUUGAAUGCAGAAUAUGUAGAAAAAUGAGAAAUACGGAAUCUUUUGAAAAAGGGUUUGUUUGUUUUUUUUAAAAGAACCGCAUCUAGACAGCACUUUCACUUUCGAAACACCUUUUUUCGAAAGGCCACUGUGAUGCGAUUAUGCAAAUGAAGCGUGGGAUAUUUAAAUCCCCGCUUCAUUUGCACUUUUGAUUUGCCUAAUUUACAUCCCUCUUUCGACAGAGGGAUGUCGUUUAGACAUACCCUAGAUGAGAGGAAAAUUGGUCAGAAUAGCUGUUGCAGAAGCUAUUGCACCAUAAGUGCUCUUCAGGGAUAGGUCCUUCUGUGUACCCAUGUGGACACUUUUUUUCCUAGAGUAAAAGUCAUUUAUUACAGAAUAAGUACUGUAUUCACAAAGCACACUAAUUAUCCAGGAAUAAAGUGAAUUCUAUGCCAGAGGAAAGUGUUCAGAUAGGGAACUGUUUUGAAAUAGCUAGAGCAAAAUAGUUUAUUCUGCAAUAGUUAUUCUAGUGAAUUUCCCCAUGUAGAUAAGAGUAAAAGGUCUCCACAGACUGCUUGAUACCGGGCUGGCUGCAAUUGAGUUUUUGAGUAAAAGCCAAAACAUGUUCUUGCAAAGGUACUUUUCCAGGCUGAUGGCAUUAAGACAGAAGCAAUUUGGCAAGCAGUAGUCGUAAACAUAAUUGCAUUUGGCCAGAAUCCUGUAGUCAGGAAACGUUACAUAGAUGUAGACUGCCACUUUUGCUGUUUUAUCAAUUUUUGCUCAAGGCAACAAUCACAGCUAUGAGCAUAUGGCAAAUAAAAAUAACUAAAGUGAAAGUAUUCUAGAUCCCGUGCCUUCUUGCUGCUUUUUUACCCAAGAAUUAUCCCUCUCAGAAGUCCAUCUGACAUCACAAAAGCUGUAACAGCCUGUACAGAGUAGAAAGACUGAUACAGUCUUAGUUGUUGGAGAAGCAAUUAAUCAUUCAACAUUAAAAGAUUUUAGGUGGAGUGGGAGUGAGGAGAGAAAACUGCUGAAUAUUCCAUUCUUAUAAACUUGCUGUAGCAAGUGGUUAAAGAAAGCUAAUUCUGCAAUCACAGCAGUAGAGUUAGCUCCCUGGUUUAACUGUGGCCAGAGGAGGUUUCAAAUGACUUACGCAAACUAAGGUUUCAAAUAGCACAUGCCUGAAAGAACAUUCUAUUCUACUAAGCUAAUUCCUAAAAUAUGAUCCACAGCCAAUGGUUGAUUAGAGGGAGUCUCACACAUCUACUGUACUUUAUUCAGUGGGUUGACUUAAUUGUUCACACAGAAAUACAUAAGAUGGUUAAUUAACUGCAGAUUGCUUUAAACAGAUUUUUCUUUAAAAAAGAAAACUGAGAAAUCUUUAGACACUUUGUAAAGUUUAUGGGUUCACUUUUUUGUUUCUGUUUUGCUUUCUGAUGUUUCUUGUUCUCUUUUCCCCAGUUACAAUAAGCAGUAGUAAAUUUCAGUCCCCUGCACCAGAGACUGAAAGCUAACUGUCAUUUAUAUGAGAUACCCUGUGCAAGGGCCUCAGAGUGUGUUUGCCAAGAAGUGGCACUGGGGGGGAUUCCAUGCUGCCUCUCAGCAACUUCCACAUCGCAUGUGCUCAGCUUACAAGGAAAAGAGAUUGGCCAAGGCUUCCAGAACUGAGUAGUGAUCUUGAGUGCCUCUAUUUUUGGGUGCCUAACUUGAAAAGAAGGCUGAAGUGUUUAAUGUAUAUUUUGAGUCAAAUCUUCACUAAAAAAAGUUAAUGGUGAACACUUAAUAUUAACAACAAGGGGAAGAAUAGAAGACAGAAUGAGGAAAGUACAGGUUAAAGAAUUUUCAAUAAUAUUUAGCUGUAUUCAAGUUGGCAGAACCUGAUGCAAUUCACCCUAAGGUACUUAAGGAACUAGCUGAAGGAAUUUU